CGACAUGAGCAAUAACAAUCUCGGAAACUCAAUACCUUAUCAACUUCCUCCAAACCUCCAACGACUAAAUCUGGCUGGGAAUAGCUUCAAUGGAGGCCUCCCUAAUUCGAUUUCCCAGAUGACUUCUCUCAAAUACCUAAACGUGAGUCGCAAUCAACUUCAGGUCGAAUUGGGUGGCCAAUUUGGUGGACAACUAACUGAUCUCUCAAC